GACGUAGGGAGCAAGCGUUGUCCGGAUUUACUGGGCGUAAAGCGCGCGUAGGCGGUUUGUUAAGUGAGAAGUGAAAUCUCCAGGGCUCAACCCGGAAAUUGCUUUUCAUACUGGCAGACUUGAGGAAUGCAGAGGUAAGUGGAAUUCCUGGUGUAGCGGUGACAUGCAUUGAUAUCAGGAGGAACACCCAUGGCGAAGGCAGCUUACUGGGCAUUAUCUGACGCUGAGGCGCGAAAGCGUGGGGAGCAAACAGG
rnacentral:rRNA from 1 species